rnacentral:rRNA from 1 species
AGCGUUGUUCGGAAAUACUGGGCGUAAAGCGAACGUAGGCGGCCAAGUAAGUCAGGGGUGAAAUCCCGGGGCUCAACCCCGGAACUGCCUUUGAAACUGCAUGGCUAGAAUCCUGGAGAGGCGAGUGGAAUUCCGAGUGUAGAGGUGAAAUUCGUAGAUAUUCGGAAGAACACCAGUGGCGAAGGCGACUCGCUGGACAGGUAUUGACGCUGAGGUUCGAAAGCGUGGGGAGCAAACAGGAUUAGAUACCCUGGUAGUCCGCGCCGUAAACGAUGAUAACUAGCUGUCCGGGCUCAUGGAGCUUGGGUGGCGCAGCUAACGCAUUAAGUUAUCCGCCUGGGGAGUACGGUCGCAAGAUUAAAACUCAAAGGAAUUGACGGGGGCCUGCACAAGCGGUGGAGCAUGUGGUUUAAUUCGAAGC